rnacentral:rRNA from 1 species
UACGUAGGGUGCGAGCGUUAAUCGAAAUUACUGGGCGUAAAGCGUGCGCAGGCGGUUUCGUAAGCUGGAGGUGAAAUCCCCGGGCUUAACCUGGGAAUGGCCUUCAAGACUGCGAGGCUAGAGUGCGGCAGAGGGAGGUGGAAUUCCACGUGUAGCAGUGAAAUGCGUAGAGAUGUGGAGGAACACCGAUGGCGAAGGCAGCCUCCUGGGCCAGCACUGACGCUCAUGCACGAAAGCGUGGGGAGCAAACAGG